rnacentral:rRNA from 1 species
UACGUAGGGGGCGAGCGUUAUCCGGAUUUAUUGGGCGUAAAGCGUGCGUAGGCGGUUUGUUAAGUCCAAAAUUAAAGCCCGAGGCUUAACCUCGGUUCGUUCUGGAAACUGGCAGACUAGAGUAUGGUAGAGGCAAAUGGAAUUCCUAGUGUAGCGGUGAAAUGCGUAGAUAUUAGGAGGUACACCAGUGGCGAAGGCGAUUUGCUGGGCCAUCACUGACGCUGAGGUACGAAAGCGUGGGGAGCAAAUAGG